UGCUAGCUCUGGUAUUUGGAAUUCCACGCUGGGAGGCAGCCGCAGCCGGUGACACGCAGGAAUGCAUCACCGCUCGUGCCUCUGCCAGGCGCUCCCUGCCUGGUACAGCAGCAGCUGGGGCUCCUGCCCAGGGAGAAGGGGCAGCAGCAGAGCCUCUCUUCAUGGGAACCGAAACGUAAAUGUCGGCGCAAACGUGUGAAUUCGGCCUUGUGUCGCUAAAGGAGAUGUGCAAAGGGAAGUGCAUGGAUUUGCCAGCAGAAGGACUGCUCCACGUUUGCGUUGGUGCUUGCACCUAAAUGCAUUUGGCUGGGAUCGCUAGCGAGGGCCCCGCGCGGUGCUGAUGUCACUGAAGUGCGGUUUCUGAUGUUUCCCAGGGCAGCGUUUGGUGAUCUGUUUGGCUGUUCAGAAGGCAGCACGUGUACAAUGUCAUACUUAAAGAAUGUGGUUUAAAAAUAACCCCAAUCCGAAUUGAUCCUGGGCCCAUUGGCACCAGUCACUCCCACGCCCUCCUGCUGCCAGCGCUUCAGAAGAGCCGGCGCCAAUCCAGCUCCAGAAGACACAGCCGCAUCCGGGGAGUCACUGAAACGUGGGUGGCAACUUGUCUCGGGUGCACGUUAGUGGGUUUCUGCUGUCAGCAGCAUGUGCGGCAUUCGACACACAAGCUGCCCAGCAGACUUCUGUCUUGCAGGAACCCAGGCGCGCACGCAGACCCUGGGCUGCAAUCCAACAGGGGAGCUCACAGCUUCCUGACACAACCUGGGGAAGGCAGAGGCUCUGGGACAGCUUUCUCCCCUCUGGCUUACUCACGCUGACCCACAGUAGGGCAAAGACGGGGAUAGGGGAGAAGAAGGGGAGUCGGGUGGGAGGUGAAGGAAGGGCACGUCCGUCUGUGUGAGCCAGUGCAGCCAUAGGAGGGGCAGUCUGCAGGUUCAGCUGCAAACGUGUGCUCUGGGCCAUGCCUUCUGCCAGCAGCAGCCCAGGGGCCAGGCGGCCAGGUUCCAGCGCCCGUCGGGCAGGCCCACACAGGGCACUCCCGGCAAAACACACAGCACGCUCCGUGGCACGGUCUGAAGCAAGAGCAGAGUACUCGAGGCCUGAUGCCAACUUCUGCUGGAACCGGCAACACUUCCCCGCAGCUGCAGAUGUGCAUGUAAGAGAGAGCGCUCACAUCUGGUGUCCAAAGUAGAACUCCAAAUGCAAAUCAGAGAACAUUAUGUCGAUCUGUGAGACUCCCAGGAGGCCGCUGGGCCCAUAAACAAUCAAUAGAUCUCGAGAAGUCUUAAUUAUAGGUUCUCGUCAGUGACAGCAAGAGCCCUGCUCCAGCACUGCUGGUUAUUGUGUGAAGGGAACUGCACCGAUUGCUUUCACAUCAGCAUGCCGAGAUGUCAGAGGAAAAGCAGCCUCUUUAAGCAUAAACAUAUGAUCGUGUCUGAAUCUGCCUUGCUCUCGCUGCAGCGCUCAGCUUCUAGCCGCUAUCUUGGCCUUGGCAGUGGACGUUUCCUGGGGAACCGAUGAGCCAGCGGGGCGUCUCACCUAGCUCCUUUCUGCCUCACGGGGCUCGUAGCACCCCCAGGAUGAGUAGAGGAGGGGCAACAUCUAGUGGUCAGAAACGGGGGAGUGGGGGGCUGGUGACCCGGGUGCGGACCGGGCAGGAUUGCUACAGCUCACCAUCGCAAAGGCUAUGGGCCUGGCUGCCCUUCCACAGCGGGAAGUGAAAAAGCCGCCCGAUACAGCAUGUUUCACCGCAGCACCAGGCCAGGGCUGUCGGGCUGCUACAACCUGAUGCCCGCUGGGCCCUACCCCACCGCCCACCCAGGCCAACACGCAGGGCGCAGUGCGAGCGGUAGAAGAGGCUGAAUUUUAUUUCCUGCCGCAGGAAGGAAACACGGACCGCGUGGAGCAGGUGCACAUUAUGGACUCUGCCAUUGAGGUGCAUGUGGCACUUAAAGCUUUGCCGCUCAGCUGAGUUUGGUGCCACUUUCUCAGCCAUCCCUGAAGGGGCCAGGGGCCAAGACAGUCUCGCAGCCCUUCCAGCGGCCCGUGCUGCUGCAGCGGUUACUGCGCAAGUCCCGGCUGAAUCAGAUGAGGAAAUUCAUCCCUGUGGGAGAGUACUGCAGGUAGGUAACUUCACUCCAGGACAUCUGCUGACAGGCCCAUCCAGGCUGCCGUUGUUUUUGUGAUGGAUCAAGAGAAAUGUUCUGGGUUGGUUGUUAACGCCAGUGUCAGCUUUGCUUUGGCAUACAGAAUAACAGUGCCACACAGGAGCAGGGAAUGCAAUUAAACCUCUAGCGAUGAGCUGGCUAAGAGGGCAAAGACUAAAUUGGAGCUGAACAGCUGCCAGCUGAGGGCAUUGGGAAAUAAGGUAUAAAAGAUUGGCAUCCGCUUCGCGUUCUGUGAGCGACUGACACGUCCGAGCCUGCCGCAUCCUCUGCUUUCACAAGAUGCCAAGACCGAGUCACCGACGUUCGCGCUGCAACAGCAAGAUGCGAGGGACCAGCUCUGGCUCGGUGUGGAAAGCCUGUGUCUGAUCAAGCCGGUGUUCACACGGAGCAAUCAUUGUGCGGCCUCUGACUGUCUCUGUGCAAACUGUCCGGACUGUUUGCUCUGCUUCUAGCUGACCCGAGCCCCCCGCCACAGUCCGGAGGUGUGGGACACGAAACGGCCCCUAAGUCAUGUCACCAGUUCUCUUUCUGCCUCCAGCCAGUCCAGCUGGAGGCCUGCUCAAGAAAGCUUUGGACUUGUUGCUAUUAACUGGAAGGUGUUUGUUUUACCAGGUCUUUGGGUGAUGGCAGCACCCCAACACGUGCAAACGGGAUCUUCAGCCUCUCUCCCGUUUCUUCUGGUUCAGUUCCCGGAGGACUUUGUGACACACGCAGUGUGACGUGAGACGGGGUCUCUGAGAAAGAGAUUGCUUGUCAGGAGGUGAGCAAGCGAAAUGCUGGGAAGAGCAGGGGACUCACGUCAGAAAUAACAGACAAAGCAGCACCUCAAGGUGCAAAGAACUGCAAAAACACCGACGUAGUCAAACUCGGCCUUCGUUUUCCCCUUUGUCUGGAUGAAGUUCGGUAAGACACCCAGGAGCUCAGUUCUGUGGGUUAUGAACUAUAAACCCCAAGUGUUGACCUCCAGAAAAAAAUAAGUUUACCAGAUCCAGAAAGUACCAUAAACACCGGACAGAACAGAUGGUCCAAGCCCGGGGCCUUCCCUGAAGGACACCCCUCCUUCCCCGCGCUGGCAGCACGCUGGUCUCUCGGCAGAUCGGUAGUGAUCCUUGUGGCAAUGCGGUCUCAGCGUGCACGAGGCUUGCAGGGGUCAGUCUCACCCACUGGGCUCUGAGGUGCUGCUUACUUGGGAAGCCUGUGAGGAACGCACUUCUUCUCCCCAAUUCAUUACUUGCCGCGUGUAAAAAGAAAACCCCAGACUGAUCCAGCAGCAUUUCCUUCAGCUGCUUGGCCUGGAUGGGGUGAGAGACAUUUUCUAUGGAAGCCACCUGCAGCUUGGACCCUGGGUCUCAUUUAUCACACAGGAGCAGCAGACCUCCAAAAAUCUCUUAAAUCAUUGCUUUAUUUUCUGCUGCAUUACGUUUUUAUUCAGAUAGGAAUGAAAUAAAAUAAAAAGUUUCCAAGGGAAAGAGCUGGGCUUGUUCUGCUCCAGAACAAUUUAAUUAGUGAUAAGAUUUCCUGGGCUAAGCUUUCAACAUUUAAAACUCCUUUGUGACACCUAUAGCUUAAAGGCAUAAAACAUUAUGAUUUUUAACAAGUUCUUCCUUUGCAAAAUCCAUCACUGUAGCUGUCUAUCAGUGCGAUGCGGAGCAUAUAAAUAAAUCUUUCUUCCUUGUGAGCUGCUCUCAAAACAAUUUCAGCAGCACAAGUGCAAGUAAACACAGGUCUGUACUUCAUUAAUCAUGUACACCUUUUUACAGGCAUGGUGCAAAAGUUAAACGUACUGCCUCAGUGUUAGUGGCAGGGGAGCUGGAGUUCAAGACCCGGGGUUUUGUAUGCAAUGUUUACUAAGGAUGUCUGAAAGAACCAGGCUAAUCUAGGAGGCUGGCAAUGCGCUCUUGCAGCUCCUUUGAAGACCCCACUCGCCGGUGCCUCCCCGGGCUGACACCACAUUCCUGCGGAGUCUGCACUGUGCCGGGGGUGAAGGGCUUGGUAAGACCUGGACACGUUACUUCCAUUAUUUUAUCUCUACAAGUCUAACCUCUCUGUCAUGUCAAGACUCUUUAUUUGUGCGGGGAAGGGCCGGAGGGUUUGCAGCCUCAUCCCUGGGAGAGGGGUUGAAACUCUCCCUGUUUUGUUUCCGUUGCAGAGAUCACUGGCAGGACUGGGAAGAAAGCAGUCCUCCAAGCCAGCCCAGCUCCGCGGGAGCCAGCGGCAGAGUUGGCAGGUGGGGGCCCGUUUCUCACGUCUCCCUGGCAUUCCCCACCUCAUCAUUUCCUGUGAGAGCCUAGGGUGCUGCAAAGGAAGGAAGAAAAUUGCUCCAUACGUGACAAUAGGAACGUCGCCUAGAGCACAUGGCAACCAAAGUGUUAACUAGCCUGUCCAGCAAACAGUGCAAGUCUCCAAUGGAGAAAGUGGCCAGCGAGACCGCGUGUUGAACUGCAAGCUGUGUCCGGUAACGUUGCGCACACACAGUGAAGGAAGGCAGGUUCAGGAGGGGAACCCCAACAAAACUCCCCAAGGCCUCUGCUUAAACCAUUGAAACCAUGCUGCUUUUUCCCGUCAACCAGUGGAUCAGCUAGUCCCAUUUGAGCUGAAUUUUCAUGUCACAAUACCAGUACUUCUUCCAGCACUAAGUGCAGGGGAGCAGAGAACUGAGUUGUUUGAAUAAAUCUGUGAUGAAGUUCAGUUCUUAUGACCAGCAAAGAGCUGGCCAGGAAGAGUUUUGCUUUGCCGCAGUUUCUUAGCUCCAUCUCUGGAGAAUUCUUCUGGGACUUUCGUGGAUCAUGUUUUAUUGUAAUUAAUUCCUUUGUGCCUUACAACAUGGGAAAGAAAAGUCUUGCACAAGUCUCAUUUUACUAAUCGGAGGCCACCCUUCUGGCUUUUCAGGUGGAGCCACAGUUUUACCAAAAAGCAUCUGACGUGUAUAAAUGCAUCUGCCACAACCAACGUAUCUCCUGAGAAGGUAUUUGUUAAAAUGGGUAAUUAAAGGCCAUUUCUCUAUUGCUUCAUCACAGUGUAGCUCCAAGCUAAAUUCUAGCUUGAGGUUCCCUUAAAAAUGCCUUGCUGCCAUUUACAUUGACACGGAGUCAUAGGAGGGAGAGAGAAGUCCGGACCUGGAGCGAGGGGUGGCUGUUCUCGUGCUGUCUCGCUACGGCGGGCACCUGUGGGCAAGCUGUCCCCAGACACGUAUUGAAGUGGUGCAGGCGUCCCUCCCCAAGCAAGGCAUCUGCUCACCGAGUUAGCUUGUGGGACCUUGUGGGACCGUGUGGGACAGGCAACGGAUUUGCUGCACAACAGCACACUGGGAUCGGUUUGCUGAUCUCCGAACAUCAUCCGUCACACACAGAGGCCGUGGCAAAUACUGAAUAGUGCUGCAUCAUUUGAACACUUAAUUAAAGUGAAGUUCUUAAUGUACUUAGCAAAUCACACCAGGUUCCAAGACAAGGUCUGCCUCUGUGCCUCGUGACGAGGGAAGAAACAUCCCUGAGCCGUGGAGUCGGCUCCUGAACCGCCACGUUCUCUCCCCUUCUUUGCAAGAGAGGCUGGCAUUUAUACUGCAGUUUGCAUAAGUAGUGGGCAGACCUCUCCCCGUGGGGAGCGCAGGCCACAGGAUGCCUCCUUCACAUUUGCAGCGCUUGCAAUGCAGCACUAUACACCUUUCUCUUCCAGGAUAGCUGCUAGCCAAAGGGCCCAUAGCUGAAGAGCUUUGCUUCGGUGCUUGUCCUUGGAAGCAGAAUGACGUGGCUACCCGGACGAUUGUUUCUCAGACCUCAGCCUUUGGAAGUUGUCUUUCCACAUGCCCGUCGGAAGGCAGUCUCUAGCGUCUGCCCUGCAACACGCUGCAGCCCAGUGACUCCCGCUUUUGGGGGUCGAGGCAGCCCCCACUGGUCUCGAGGCACUCCUCCACAACUUUGUGAAUGGAACAGCGCCCAAUUAAAAAAAGAAGUGAUGUGUUACAGUGCCUGCCUCCUUGCAGAGGGCUGGGCAGGGGGGGCAAGCCCGAGCCUGCACUUUUCUGCUUAUCUGCUUAUCUUCUCUCACCGCACCUUGCCGCACCCUUCAAAGGACCUGGCAGCACCCCGGCCUGGCCUGCCGUGGCACCCUGGUCGAGAGUCACUGCUAGAGACAGUGCAGUUGUCUGACGUGUCACAAGAUGAACGUGUAGAUGUCCGCUGGGGGAUUCCUACAAGCAUUAUUUUCCUGGGUUGGAUUUGGGGUCCAAUAGAAGAAACAUUACAGUUUCCCAGCUUGUCAUACCCUAUAAAUGUGACUCAGACCUUAGUUCGUGCAGGUGUAAAACUGCACUUUCGAGGCUGUUUCAGCACUUGCCCGUACAGUUAUGAUCGGCAAUAACAUUAAAACCCCACAACUUCCAAAGGCCAAAGCACGUAAGGGCAAAUCAGGGAAAGCAAAGCAGCCAGAUUUUGGAAGUCUCCGCAGUGCCCAGCUCCUGGUGGUCGGGCUGUUCAUUCCUCACAUUCAUGGCAACCACAUACCCUGACACUGCAGCAAGGACGUGUGUGUGUGCAGCAGCUCUGCCCUCUGGUCUCGCACUGCAGAAGGAGCCGACAAGCCCGCAAGUUCUGACAAGCUUCAACAUCAGCACCUAGGUGUGAGCCAAGAAACGGCGGGCAUUGCCAGGUCUGCAGCACUAUGCUGAGCGUGCUCACGCAGGAGCGUGCUGCCUGCUGCUCCGGCUUGCCCUGAUGUCACAUUCCUGACGGAUGUUUUACAAAGCAGCCUGCUACUGCCAUGUGAACCGGGGGGACAAACCUGACACAUGCCAAGUGUGCUGUGCCGUAAGUGCCAUGUUGUGAUCAGCAGCGGGGUAAAACACGUGCCACGAAGCCUGAAGUAGCUCAGGCAAGGAGACCUUGUGCUCACUUGCCCACGUUGCACGGCUCGGUGAUCCUUGUCACGGGCCGUCGGACCUGACGGGCAGGCGCAGAACUCGUGAGAAGGCCUCCAGCCCGCCCGGGUUGAGACGUGCAGAGCCUCGACGCGGGCACAGGUCCUGGGUCUGAUGCAGCCUGUACCGGGUGCCAGGCAGGCGCGUCCCGUCUCUCAGCAGUGACACUGGCAGUAAUUUGCCCACGUCUACUGAGCUGUAAGACAAUUGCUUAGGAAGUACCUGUAGAGUUAUAGCAUCACCUGGAUGCCUUUGUGGCCUUCACGCUGGCAAGAAUUGUUCUUCAUGUAAGUGCUGAGGCUGCCCUGCCGUGGGUUUUCGUGCUUCCAAACUGGUUCUGUUGUUUUUUCCCCUUUCUCUUUUUACAGGAAAGGGCCUGUGAGAGCCACGGAUGUCUAUGCAGAGCCGGCUCCCAUUGCUCUUCUGGCUCUUGUCCAGGGAGGUCCCAACCGGGGCUGCCCCGGCGGCGCGGGGCCGUUCUGUGGCUUGCAUUGCUGCCUACGGAAACAAGGGUGCUCUGGUGAUGCCCCGCGGGUGUGCCAGGGGGACCCGACCUCCCUGCUCCCAGCGCCCGGCAGCCCGGCUUGCGCACAACCGCUGCCUGCCGGCCAAUAGCAGCACAGCUGGAUGUUUCUCAGAGUGAUUUGUUAUGUUCUCAUGACGGUGGUGAUCCCAGAUUGGACUCGAUCCAGGAUCACGGUGGGAAAAUGCUUAGACAAAGUACAGCAGCAAGCAAUGCUCCUGAGGGAUGUGCUGUGUACGUCUGUCCUGGAAGGCAAGCUCGCAAGAGAGCGGCCAAAGAUGCAUCAGGCUGCGCCUGCAUGAGAGAGAUGCCGCAGGGGCUUGGCGCGGGAGGAGUGGGACCGGGCGCAGGGUGCAGCUGGCCCAGCCGUGAAGCUCAGCUCCGGGUGAAACAAAUCUCGAGCCAGGCCCCGCCUAGCAGGGAGGUGCCCCAGCCCGUCUUUCUCUCCCUCUCACUAGCGCCUUCUGCAUCGGCAAGGGUCCCCGCGCAGGCUUCUCGCCCCGCUCGGGUCGGCGACGCGGAGGUGCGAGGCUGCCAGGCGCAGCAGGAUGGGACGCCCCCGUGCCAGCGCUUUACAGUAUCCUCGCUCUGCGGAGCGCUCUGAUGUCUUGCUUGGAGCUUGGUGGGCAAACAGCCAUGGCACAAAAAGCCCUUUCUUCAUUUCUGCUUCAGGCUAUUCCUUUCCUUCAGAGGACGACAAUAGCUACUUCCAGAUGACACAGCCACUACAUGCACAGAUGCACAUAUUCACGACACCCAUAGCUUACUCAUUGUAACCGAGACUGUACUGGCAUUUGUUAGCGAUGUCCAUUCACACUAAAAAACCCUCUUGUCCUCGUGGAGCUGUAUUUCUAAGGAUCUCUUUCUUCUUCUUUAUCACAGAAGAGACUGUGGUGCUUUUUUUUCUUGCUCUGUCUUAGCAUUCAGUUAUCUGAUAACUCUUUAUCCGAAGCACUUUGAUGCUACAAUUCAGAUUUCAAGUGAUGGGAUUCCCUGUUUCCUAGCCCUCCCCUUAGCCCAGGCUAUCUGCAGACAGAGAGCUCCUGGCUAGCCUCAGACUGGAAGCCGGGCCGCAACAUUAACUCCAUGCUUUAAAGUUGCUACAUGAGCGCAGUAUGAUGUUAGGUGUUUUUUAUUCAGACAUUUUCUGUGAAUGAGAAUAAAAGUCCGAUAACAGUGCUGUUCGGAGCUGGUCAGAGCCCGAUGCACAAAGAGACAAAUGUAGGGAAGACUUACUGCUGCACAAACGUAUGUGUCCCAUUUUAUGUUUAUUCUUAGAUGUUUAAAAUCACCUCAUUUCUGGGUCAAAUGUCGCUCUGAAAUUCCUUGUAUUUAUUUUUACAAUAAGAUGAAAUAAUCAGAAUGUCCCGAUGCUUCUCUGUGAUAAAUGGUGUUAGCUUGUAUUACAAACAGUGGUUGGGACUUCAUCCGCGGUGGAUUUGGAGGGAACAGCAGCGGAGAGCUGGGAACACGUCUCUCGGUCGGAUGCAAGAAGCGGGCGAUGACCCUGCGGCGCGGGGCAGAGUCCAUCUCACAGGGGCAGCAGCGACCGUCGGGCAGCGGGCACGAGAGCGGCCCAGCUGGGCCCAGGGUGACCAGCAGCAGCGGGGCCUCCCUCGCUCUCUCCGCCCUUGGGCCUGGGCUUCGUGGGGAAUGGUUUUAUGAACAAUUCGGGACUCUCCUCUCCUCCUGACUGGGGUGCAGGGGGCGAUUUCUUCCUGCUGCGCCGUCUGCCUGAGGGCGACACAGGAAAGCCUGCAGCGGCCUGCUUUGCAAAUGGCCCAGUGGGGAAGUCCCUUCCCAAGCCCUGAUCACUCGAGGCUGGGUCACAUCCCUUCCAGGACUGCGGCUCAUCGCCCACAUUUAUCGUCCUGACGCCCGAGAGGCCACAUCAGCCCUCAUCGUACCGAGCCCCUCUCUGACUCGUGGCAGUGACGGCGAUGGGGUCCAUGGACCGGCUACUUGUGACGGGAGAAAGUCUCUUCUCUUAUUGCGGCACUUCCUGCUGCGUCGUGGGCCGUUGCCAGCUAGGCUUGUCCUCAGCGCCACGCACCAGCACAGCAUCCGCCCGGCGUGAAAACGGCCUCUCCGUGGCUGCCGCUGCCUUCCUCGCAGCAAGGAACGAGGCCAGAUUUGAGGGGGAGACGACUAGCUCCACGAAGCAAGAGCGUCUUAGACCCGGUCGCGUGAGCCGUAGGGACAGACCUGCGGGCGCGAGGUGUGCAACUGCUGGCUACCUGCGGGGCUCGACAGGGAGGUCCGGUGGCGGAGCAAACAGAAGCUUGAAAGGGAUUUGGCCAUUUCGCCAGGGCAUCACAAAAAGGGAAUCAUCUUGCAGAAACAUUUCUUUAGGCAAUAGUAUGUUUUAAUUAAAUACAUUCAUCAUUUACCAGAGUUUGUAUUUCAGGCACCCUCAAAGUCAGCAUGCACUCAGAGGAAGUCUCGAGGUCGGCUUUUCUCCCAGACUUUUCCGGGGCUGCAAGCUGAGGGCCCCAUCUUAUAUAAACAGUUAGUGCACUCAUGUCUCAUGGCACGCUCGAUUUGAGGGAAUCAAUUAUGGGACAUAUUUCUGGGGUAAAUACAAUCACUUUAACUUAAACACUAACAUGCAUGUCAGGAGAAAAUGAGUAAAGCGUCUAUCAAUCUCCUUAGAAAACUGCAUCCUCUAAGCAGAAAAGGGAAAUUUAAAACCUCCAUGAAUCCUCCCGCUUAUCUUCAGCUAUUCAGCGACCGUUACAUUCGACAAAUAACAUGUCAGAAGUGGCUCCGAGGCCAUGCACCCCAGGGGGCCGUAAUGGAUGGACCCCCACAGCAUUAGGAUUUAGGAACAACACGCAUCUGAGCACAAGCGCGAGUGUAUCGACUUCCUGAAUAAAGCGAGCCGCAGCCCCAGGGCCCGUUACCCAGUGACACGUGCUAAGCGAGAACGCAGCAUUCAUGUACAAGCCACAGGAUGCUAAAAGGCCACCCUCUAAUUCCAUCACAGUAAAAUAAAGGCAGCUCCAAAUGAGCAAGACGUCUCUCCCGACAAGCAUAAAUAAUUUGCAUUACAUACACGACACCUAAACUGCCGAUAGGUGCCUGAAAGGAGCAAAUGAUCCCUCAGUCCCAGGUCUCCCACGUCGUAUGGGUGGGGGGCAGUACGUGGUGUGUCCAGCAAAGCUCGGCCAAACCGUAGCCCCAGGAGAGGAGAACUUCUGUCCUGCCCCCGGUGCGAAUGGCUGACGGCACGUGGCCCUUCCUGAGGUAGGUGGUGAGCGUCUUGCUGAGAAGAUGACACUGGUGUCCCCGACCGUAGCUCUGAUCACUAUGUGACCACUUUUCCCUGCUCUGCAGUCAGGGGAGGGGAACUCACUGCGCAGCAACGAGCGCUUCCUUCCUGCAUUAGCGGCGGCGUGCCCCCUGCACGUCUCGAACUCGCUGCGCACCCGGGUGGGAGAGGCUUGCACAAGGACUCGUGUCUCCUGGGCAAGGCAGGGAAUAGGAAGAGCGUCGGGGUCCCUGGAGCCGUUUUCAGCAAUGACUCGCCGCCUGGCUCCAUGCAGGUUUGCUGCCUCAGUUUACCUCGGUAAAUGCGAGCCUGUGUCUUGGAGUGGAUUGUAAUGAAAAUGUGGAGAAGCACAGAUACCAGGGACCCAACCGCGGGCUGGAAAGGGGCUGAAGGGUCCACGUAGCCCGAAGCCGGAGCAGAUGCAGACCCCUUCCUGACGGGUGCCACACUGGAGAGCAAGGUUUUAUCCAUCACCUCCCCAGCAUUCGGCUCUGCUGGUGCUGCCGUGGCCCUUUCGCUCCGCUUCCCGCUCCUCUACCAUUUCCCCGUCUUCUGUUCCAGUCCUGCAUGUUUUGUCAUUUCUAUUAGGCAAAGCAGACUUGGUCUUGGUCCCCGCAGAUAAUUGACCAUGCCUUUUACUCGCAUGUUCUCACAGGGCAGAGCCAGAGUGUCUGAUGUGUGUUUGCAUGUUAUAUUAAUAGAAAUCAGAAAAUUGCCCUGCACAAUUCCUAAUAGAGAAUCAGCCAACGUCCUCCUUGGCAUCAGCACUGGCUCGCUUAUUUUUCUUGAAUAUAUUCACUACAGCCUUUUAUGUUAUUGUCUUUGGGCUCAUUUUUCUGCUCAUGUAUUCCCCAAAGAAGGAAAGAAUAGUAUCCUGUGCCCUGAAUAAGGACACGCAUCUUGAUGUUUAUAAUUAUUUCAUUAUUUCUUUCUUUUCUUGUUCCCUUCCUGGACUUUUGAAUCUUAAAUCAUACGAUGCAGGGGGUUCCUAUUCCUUGUAUUCCUGCUCUUGAAGGUGAAGCCAUAGGACCCUCUUCACAGGCUCAGAAAGUAAAUGAAAUGAAUACGGGAGGACACAAAUGGCCCAGUGCAGGAUGAUUUUGUUCCCACGUUUUGUCUAAUGGGUACUGCCCAGGGGAUGCACAAAGCUCCUAGAAAGCCUCCUAAGCUCUGGGUCUAGCCCAGUGGUGUGGGAAACCUGAGCUGCGGGGCCUUGACAGCAGCGCUGUCACAGCGCAGGGCUGCCCAGCAAGCCGGCCGGGCUUUGUUUCACCUGCGUGCGCCCACAGGCCAAGCAGGGGUGAAGUGCAAACGAGGCUGCUUUCACGUAAAUCUGUUUUUGAAGGAACUCUCAACUCAAUUGAAAACAUUUUCAUCUUCUUCUUCCAUUUGAUCUUUUUGCAACAUACUUUUCUUAUUACUUCUGGCAUUUCACUUCCAUCUGGUUUCAACUUUUGAUUAAAAACUUGAAGUUCAACUUCUUAAGUUUGAUGCAGAGAAGUGGGGUUUUCCAUGUCAUCCCUUCAGAAGCUCUGUGCCCUACUGGCGUUCCCACCCCACGGGGUGGCGGGGAUGCCCUCGGGUGACGGUCUGCUGUGCGGGCACACAGCGGGAGCCCCCGAUGGCACCGCUCCCCGCACCUCUUCCCGUCCCAGGGUGAGGGCCUGCCGGUGACUUGCCGUGCUUGCGAGGGGGGAGUCCCUGGAAAGAGGCUGUAUGGCCGCAGGCACACACAGCCAAGCAGCAGCCAGUCGGGGUGUAUCGCCCAGGACACCGUACCGCUGUAUACCAGAUUCCAGGGGUUCGGUGAUCACAGGCAGCGCAGGCGGUGCCAGGGGAUCUGGAUUCAAUUCAGGACUUGCAAUGAUAUCACUAAAGGGGGAACGGGCCCAGAGCAUGAGCGGUUCAGGAAAAAUAGAAGCGGGAGAUGUAGCUCAGACCGCGCGGGCCUCCCGGGCCUCCCUGGGGCCACGUGGGGAGCAGCGGGCGGGACCGAGCUCUGGGACAGCCUGAGCGAAAGGCCCAAAGAGAGAAGCACAGGAGGUUAAGGAGACCAGACUAGUCCUGCUCACUUCUUCAGACGCCAUCGCGCAAGGCUACAGCACAGUGCCUCCAGGAAUUCAGCUAUUCGGAGGGGUGCUGAAACCCAGUCGCUUCCCUCAGAAAACCAGUUCAGAUGAGACUUUAACCAGGAGCAAUAACAGACAUUUUGAAAAAGGAUAAGCUGGAUACGACGCUCCCUUGGUGGGCGAGAAAAAGGAAAUAAGGGGCCUCUGCUUAGGCCACAGAAGUGGCAAUGACCCGGAGAGGUUACACAGAGACGUGUCGCAGUAAACUUCCAGGAGCAUCUGUAGAAACAUCUCUUCUACAUAGUUUAGAAAGGACUGGGAAACGUGUGAAGCAGAGAUGCAGUGUUGAACGGCAAGAGCUGGGCGCGGGGACUGAAACGAGCGGCUGCUUCGCGGUUCCCGUGCUCCCGAGCAGCUGACAGAGGAGAUGUCUAGCACCGAGAAGCAGCAGUAUUCUGACUGCGGAGCAGCGGGUCGCUCCCCAUUCAUCUCCCAGUUGUGCGACUCCCGUGCCUUGUGUGUGCACGUUAUCCCUGGGCCAGACAGCUAUACCAUCUGGGCUGCACUUCCAUAUUGCGCUUGGGAAGGAGUGUUUCCUUGCAGUGUUCGCAGUGUCGAGAUUUGAGACACAUGUGCGACACAUGCAGGAAAUAUGCUGUAGUAAUCUCAUGUUUAUAAUUCAGAGCGCAGGAUGGCAGAGCUGAAAGUAGGUUUGAUCAGGUUCCAAACCGAUUUCCUGGAGACACAGUUAAGCUAGAAAUGUUAAGAGUGAGUCUCUAGCAGGUCAGGUACUUGCAAGCAAAACACCUGAUUACCGAGAAGUUGAUUGUUCAGAAGAUUUUAACUUUGUCAAAUCUGGUGCAACCAAUUUAGAUGGUGAUAUAAACCCUUCCUCCCGUCCCUCUGUUCCGGUCAUAUGCGAAGGCCUCUGCUUCUCAGGAAGGGGCCUCUCCAUUUAUUAAUAUCAUUGCCACCACCAAUCGCCCGUUGUUUUAUCUGGAAAAUCUUUUCUCUAUUUAGCGUUGCCAACUCUCGUAACAGUUUGUGUUUUUCCUAAGAUUCUUGGAGGCGAUUGGUUACGUGACAAUCCUGAGUCUCCGCUUUGGUAAUUAGACGAAAAGGUUCCUGGCCCUGGAGGCAGGUUGCAGAGAAAAGCUUAAAAAUGAUUCCCCCAGCACUAAAAGGCUGCUAAGAGCCUAGUAUUUAUUAUUACAUUUAAAAGCUGUGCUUUUCAAGCCAGUCUUCUGAUCUUGGGUACUGGGAUACAUGAGAGUCCUUAUUUUUAAGCACGUGGGGGUUGGUAACACUGUAUCUGUGGUUUUUUAUGGGAAGCCCAGAACCCGCAGCAUCCAGGUCAUUGCCCUGGGCACCCAGCUUCGCCUCUCCUAGAGGUGCCCGGGGAGCUACCCGACAAACCCGACCCCUUCAAACUCUCCACGUUUCUUCAUCCAUUCUGUUUCCAGCAGGGUCUCAGAUGCACAGAAAAAGGCACAUGCAUGCUUGUGUGUGUGUGUCCAUACACAUGUAUGUUUAGCUUUUUUGCUCUGAAUUACUUUUAAAUAUCAGACAGGUUUAUAAUAGCUUUAAGGUGUCAGAAUUCUUCUUGUCAAAAGUGGUGCCGGUACUCUGGGUCCUGCACCAGCAAACUCCCAUCUGCUUUUCCACGACCGCUGACUGCAAGGCGACACAAGUGCAUAACGAUGACGCUUUAAUACACAUGGUGCGCCAGCCAUAAUGAAACGUGCCUCGUUUCAGCAGUGCCUUGUUUGGAUGACACAUAAUAAAUCACGCCGCCUGUUCCUGCACUGGCAGGAUCACCUCUGCACUAAGUUAACCAUGUCUGAAACUUGACCUCCCAAACUCUGCAGCCUGCUUGUAACAACAGUCAGCUCACUGACUUCCACCCAAGCCUCAAGUGCGCAAAUUGCUCCACAUAUUUUAGUAAUAGGGCCAGCAGGAACCUCAGCACUUCUUGCUGACCUCCCAGCCUGGCCCUGUUGAUCACAUGAAAAGGGCAGGUUGGGACUUGCUAGCACAGGAGGCGAGGCGCUUCAAACACACAUGGGACUAGAUCAGACUCAAACCCAGACGUGACAACCCCCAGAAACGGACAUUGUGCCCCUCCAGCCCCACAGUAACACCAGCAAAGGCAGUCAGAAGCAGGCUGGGGGUGUGCACAGCUGGAGGCCUGCGGAGCGGAUGGAGUCGUCCCUGCCCCCAGCCCGGGGAGCGGGCUGCGUGCCGAGCUGUGGGCUGGCCUUGCUGGCUGGACCAGGGCCUUUAUUGCCCUCCACUGGUCCAGGACGUGGCUGUGUGGUACUGAGUGCAUACACAACGUGUCUAGAGGUAGGAUUUGUGAAAUCCAAUAAAUAAACCUAAUAAAAAAUAGUGCCCCAGGGAUGCCUCUGGCCCAAAGCUUAAGCGAUCAAAAAAAAAGUGUUUGACCUGGCCUCGGGCAAGGUCAUUCCCUUGGAAAGCAGACGUGGGGCCUCGGCGUUCUGGAAACUCUCCGGCUAAUGUCAGACACAGGCCCGCACGCUUCCUUUCGGAAGUGCUCCCCACCCGCCCGGCUCGCUGCCCUCCCCUGCGCUCUCCGUGCGGCCGUGCCGGGUGGGAGAGAGGGCCGGCCCGGGGGAGCGCGGCAGCAACCCGCACGCUGCUCCCAGCCACGCGGCAGGCAGCCCCACAACAGCAGCUCCGAGUUAGGGCUGAACGAAGCGUCUGCCCCUCCGGGGAGCCGAGUCCCUGGGAGAGCUGGCUCUGCCACAGGCUUUUCGUGUGACCUGGGCAUGUCUUGUAGUCUCCUCGGGCCGUAAGCUAGGGAUGGCGAUCCUUCCACUCUCCCAGCCCUUUUCUGUCCGUCGCACCUGUCUAGGCCAGAUGCUGUCACUACACUUUGCACAGAAAGCACCCAACACGCUGGGUUCCUGAUCGUGGUUGGCGCUAUGGUAAAUCCCAAUAACCGGUCAACUGGCAUAUUCCUAUACCCUUUCGAGAUUACAGAGGGCAAACAGUUCUAGCUUCCAAGAGGGGUCAACCCCCCCUGGCAGCCCACAAACAAGGACCCAGUGCUGUGCUGUGCAAAGGCAGCGGGCACUGCCUCCAACGUUGGGCCCGAGCCACGCUCAGAAGCAGCGAGCUCUGCCCAGCAGGAGACACCUGCUGCAAAGCCAGCAGUUCUGUAGGGAGUAGGCAGAAGUGACUCCAGGUCAGCCGCAGGGGACAAGCACUCGGAGCAGACUGGGAAACCGGAGUGCAGCCUGGAAGCGAUGGGACCCAGGUGAACGGGGAUGUGGCGCCGAGCGCUGUCGUGACAGGACCGAGAGAGUGGACAGGUAUCACAAGCACAAAACCAGGUGGAUAACCAGUACUACUACUGGUCUGAUGGGUUUAUCACCAGGAGGUUGACUGGACGGUCAGUCAGUCUUUCCCCGGCCUCCUCGGGGAUGUUGCUCACAUGGGUCUGUGCAAUUAAGGUGCUUUUACCUCCGCCACGUUCUCAGUUACUCUCUCACUAGCUUCCUCGGUUAUAUAAAUGCCAUAGAUACAUGCCACCCACCACAUGCUUCUCCACGGACCAUGAUUAGCCUGAGAGCCCGCUGCGGCCAGCGGCCCCAAGAGCCUUCUGCGCUGCUUCUCCACCCCGGGGCCGCGCCGCCCCACGCGCUCCUGCUGCCUCGUGUCCCCAGGCCCCGGGAUUCGGCCGCCUCCUUCUCCGGGGCGGUUUGCUCUUCCCUCCUGGCAUUGUCUCUCAAGCGCAGCCCUUGGGCCCUGCCUGAUCCUCCUUUGGUUACUUUUUGUUUCUCUCCUGCUUUCCCUUUUCCCCAUGUUUUGCAGCUUCUCUGGUUACAACUUCAGCUGCUUCUACUGAGAAGAGCCCCAAAUAUCCUGACUGGGGAGCAGCGGACCACACACAUAGUGCCAAGGGAGGCCCAUAAGGGACUGUGAUAUUAACUGGCUUAAGUACAAUUAGCUAAAGGAUUGCAUUGGGUAUAAUUAAUUUACUUAAAGCUACAGAUCACAAAGUCAUUAGCUGAACUUAGUGCCCCAUUGGUUUUUGAGAGUCCCUUCCUGCCAGCAGCCAACCUGAGAAGAGUGACCAUGAAGUGAGCAAAGCGGAGAUUGCCCCAGGCCCCCGGCCUUGCCAUUUUGGUUCGGAGAGAGCUGCAGACAACUCACCAAGGGGCUGCGAAGGGCAGGGGGCUUCCUCCUACAGCAGAAGGGGGAAUCCCACCCAAACAAGACAACCAGGACCUGGUUUUCCAGGGCAGGAGACCCCACUGAAGCAGUUAUCCCUUUUACCCUCCCCGUGGGGGGAGGUUGCCCUCCACUGCUUGCUGCAGGUUCUCUAGACAUUCAAGAUAAGAAGCAAUUAGGACAAGAUAUAAAAGCAAAAUCCCUUGUGAAAUUAAAAUAAUUAUUCCUGCUGAUGGCAUCCAGGGGAUUAAGUUAAUUGUCUCAGACUAGUAAAAACAGGUUAUUGGUUUUAAAGAGAGGAGAAACCCAGAGAGCUCCUUGCCUGGAACACAAGCACUACGGGUUAGUGCAAGUCCUAAAGGGCUCCUCUUCCCUUCUCCACUCCCCAGGCGUUAUGCAGCCGUGUGGAGCUGUGAGACCCAUCGUCUCCUUGCGCUCAUCUUACAGGCCCCACCUCGCUGCUGCCGUCUGCUAAGCACGCAGGAUGGGGCGGCACUGCCGUUUGGAUCUGUCAGCAUUGCCACAACCAGCAAGAGGGAAUCUCCCCCGCUCCGACCACACGUACCCAGGGGCUGGGAGGCUGGGCACACAGGCAAGGGCGUCUCCUGUGCAGUGGGGCAGAGCAGCUCAGGAGGCUACGUCACUACGCUGCGCUCCGUCCGCUCCCCCACAUGCCGUUCGUGACCGGAAAGGGCCGCAAGGGAUCCACAGACGAAGCGGCUUUCCAACGUGCCAGAUAACCCGACUGCUGCACCGGGUCGAGCCAGUCAGGAUCAAGCUUCCCAAUGCACGUUUCUGACUUAUUUUUGCAUUGUUGGGGGCAAGAUAGCAGAGACUCUGUCACGUGCUGUUUUGGGGUUCUUGCCCUGGCCCCUCAUCCCCACGCUGCCUGAGCACCAUCCUAUCAUGCAUUAAAGGGCGCAUCCAGCAUUUUGCAGUGUGAAAUUGUCCCUCUCCCCGAAGGGAAAAUUGUGAGGAUUUCCUGCUUUGUAUUUUAGGCUCUCUCUGCUUUGCUAACCAUGCAUGUUAGCAGAGGCAGAUCACAGUUUCAUAGCUUCAUAGUUGGUCGGGUCGGAAGGGACCCGAGCAGAUCCUCGAGUCCGACCCCCUGCCGUGGCGGGAAAGAGCGCUGGGGUCAAACAACCCUGGCGAGGUGACUGUCGAGCCUCCUUUUGAAGACCCCCAGGGUAGGAGCCAGCACCACUUCCCUUGAGAGCUGGUUCCAGCUCCUAGCCGCCCUGACCGUGAAGUCGCGCCUCCUGAUGUCCAGCCUGAACCUACUCUCAGUUAACUUGUGGCCGUUAUUCCUAGUUACUCCCGGUACUGCUCAGGGAAACAGGGCCUCUCCCGUUCCCCGCUGGCCCCCCGGUACGUUUAUAGAUGGCCACCAGAUCCCCGCUCAGCCUUGUCUUGUGGAGGCUGAUCAAAGAGCCAUUCCUUGCAGUUGCAAUAGAAAGUGCUGAGGUCUGAUGAGGGGUGUAGGUUGUAGGAAGAGCACACACCAACUGCUGAAACUUCCUUAGCCUGACGAAGGGUUUUUGAACCCGAAAGCUUGCUUAAUAACUAUUCUCCAACUAUUUGGGUUGGUCUAAGAAAAGAAAUCAAAUUCACCCAAGGAACCUUGUCUGCCGAGGUCUGAUGAGGUCUUGUGGGAACGUUCCCCAGCCUUGGCCUGGACACCAAGAAAAGACAUGUCUUCUGCAGAGAUGAGCUUUAUCCUCCCCAUGGACAGCCCCACUGUACGCACAAGUGGAGCCGUCAAGGUUCCCGUCCCAGGGCACUUGGAUAGAAAGACACAGAUCUCGCGUUUGACUCGAUAGCCCCUGGCAGUGGGGCAGAGCAGAGCGGGGGGAAGGCAGGGCUGAGGAGACCACUCAGUGCCAACCUCAGUAUAAAAACCACCUCAGCAACAGGCCUUAGGCAGAUGCUUCACCAGAAGGAAGGACUUUCCAUCACGGGUAGGUAACAAAAGCCAUAGCAAGGAGCGCGUGUGCAAGUAAAUGUAGGCGCAAGGACAACAGCAUGUCCUAGCAUGCAGAUCCGUCUUCUCUAAGCCACUCAAUGCAAACGAGUCAAAGAAAGCAGCUGUGCCUCUGCUGCACCAGCAUCCCUCCACAUGAGCCAGCUACGUGUGUCCUUGGGAAGCAGCUCAUUAAAAAAAUCCAAACAAACCCUUAAUCUAAGAUUGCCACACAGCAGUAUCCUGAGCUGACCCCUGUGCUUGUGUGCCAGGAAGAGGCCUUUCUUUGCUGGAAAUGUCUAUUUACAUGCAAGCUGUAUUGUUUAUUGUCAUUUAUCAUUUUCAUGUUGAUGUCUCUCGUACGCGGGUUAAAACUGUAAAAUGUCUCAAUAAAGGAGACUGCUGUCAGAUCUGA